UAUAUUUCCCACUAGGAGGAUUAUAAAUCUGCCUGGCAUCCCUUUUUGGUCCUGCUGGAGAUUUCUUGGGUGGUGAACCAGAAGUUGUAUCUUCAUUGGCUCUCUUUUGCCUAUAAUGGUUUCCAGGAUAAUGUUACUGUGCUUUUAUAAGAAGGAGGAAUGUGGAAGAGAUCCUGAAAAGACAAAAUGAGGCGAGAUUUCUAACAUAUUUGGUGGUGAGCGUAAGAAACAUGGAGACAUCUUAAAGAGACAGUUGAGGAGAGGAAGUUUUAAUCUAUCCUCCUUGCUCACCUAAAAAAAAGCUGCAAUAGAAAAAAAGUCCUGUUAAAUGAUGACGGAAGCUUACCUUUUUGGACUCAGUUAGUAUAAGUUCCUCUACUUCCUUUGUUAAGACCUCAUCUGGUAAAGUCUUAAGUUUUGUGGAGAGGAAUUUGAUUGCUCGUUCUCUAACAAUGUCCUCUCCCUGAAGUAUUUGGCUAAACAAGCCACCUAAAGUCCCUGCAAAACAAAAUAGUUGUGUGUAGCAAAUCAAUUCUAUACUGUAAUGAAAUUUCUCCAUUUAACUCA